CAAUAAUGCUGCGAAAAGAAAGUGAUCGCAACUACCAGGGAGUAUGUUCGUCGCAGAGGAAUAUCGGAAGCUGAGAGGAACAAGGAAAACAUGGAAUUCUAGCCGCAAGGUAGCGAAAAAGAAAAAAAAGUGUUGUGAACUGGGGAAGCCCGUACUUCUAUCGUCUAAUAUCUGCUGCAGCAUCCGGAGCUUGUCGAUGGAGUGAGGGCCAUGCAUUCGGCUACCUAAUGCAUAACAG
rnacentral:lncRNA from 1 species